rnacentral:rRNA from 1 species
ACAUGCAAGUCGAGCGGGGUGAUGUAGCUUGCUACAUUACCUAGCGGCGGACGGGUGAGUAAUGCUUAGGAAUCUGCCUAUUAGUGGGGGACAACAUUCCGAAAGGAAUGCUAAUACCGCAUACGCCCUACGGGGGAAAGCAGGGGAUCUUCGGACCUUGCGCUAAUAGAUGAGCCUAAGUCAGAUUAGCUAGUUGGUGGGGUAAAGGCCUACCAAGGCGACGAUCUGUAGCGGGUCUGAGAGGAUGAUCCGCCACACUGGGACUGAGACACGGCCCAGACUCCUACGGGAGGCAGCAGUGGGGAAUAUUGGACAAUGGGCGAAAGCCUGAUCCAGCCAUGCCGCGUGUGUGAAGAAGGCCUUUUGGUUGUAAAGCACUUUAAGCGAGGAGGAGGCUACUUAGAUUAAUACUCUAGGAUAGUGGACGUUACUCGCAGAAUAAGCACCGGCUAACUCUGUGCCAGCAGCCGCGGUAAUACAGAGGGUGCGAGCGUUAAUCGGAUUUACUGGGCGUAAAGCGUGCGUAGGCGGCUUCUUAAGUCGGAUGUGAAAUCCCUGAGCUUAACUUAGGAAUUGCAUUCGAUACUGGGAAGCUAGAGUAUGGGAGAGGAUGGUAGAAUUCCAGGUGUAGCGGUGAAAUGCGUAGAGAUCUGGAGGAAUACCGAUGGCGAAGGCAGCCAUCUGGCCUAAUACUGACACUGAGGUACGAAAGCAUGGGGAGCAAACAGGAUUAGAUACCCUGGUAGUCCAUGCCGUAAACGAUGUCUACUAGCCGUUGGGGCCUUUGAGGCUUUAGUGGCGCAGCUAACGCGAUAAGUAGACCGCCUGGGGAGUACGGUCGCAAGACUAAAACUCAAAUGAAUUGACGGGGGCCCGCACAAGCGGUGGAGCA